GGUGACGCCUCCUACGGCCUAGAGAUCGACGCCGCAGUGAAAGAGAAACUUAAGAGCCAUGGAAGAGCCCUCUGCAAUCAGAACUCAAACCCCGAGCUGGGCUUCAACAACCCUACUUCCACGCUCCAACUUGAGUUCUAAGUGAGAUCCUGGAGUUUUGUCCACUCGCUGAUUUGAUGUCAAUACAGUUUGGACCUGUUUGAGGUAUCACGUGAUUCCUGCCAUAAAGACAAAGUCAAAAUACGAGAGGCAGUGUGGAAAUGGAGACCUGGAUUCUAUUCAGCCCUGGCCACAACGGUUUCAGCUCUCUGACCUUGAUUAAUUCACUUCUCUAAGUCCUCAGCUGCCAAGUACAAACAACACCUAACUUACAGAAUGUUAAAUGAAGUGACAUGCAAAAAUGUACUCUGUAAAAUGUAAGUGAUGUAGAAACAUCUUCUAAAUUCAUCUGGUGGGGCUUCCCUAGUGGUCUAGCGGUUGAGAAUCCGCCUGCUGAUGCAGGGGACACGAGUUUGACCCCUGGUCUGGGAAGAUCCCACAUGCCGCAG